rnacentral:lncRNA from 1 species
GCUGCCGCCCCGCCUGUGUCGCGGUCGUACCCUCCGCCCUCUGCGCCGAGAGCCGCUGCCGCCCGAGACCUUCGAGGGCUCCUCGCCCCUGCUUCCUGGGAGACCCUCUCCGCUGGGAGAGUCGCAGUCACGGAGCCGGGGGACACCUGUACGGGCAGGCGGCCGGCGAAGGCCCGGCCCGAGAGGAAGCGGGCCCCGAACGCCGCAACUGCCUGGGAAGCGGCUUUGCGUCCGGGCGUGGUGGAGCACAUCUGAGGGCCCAGCUACUCGGGAGCUGAGGCAGGAGGAUCCCUUAAGCCUGGGAAGUCAAGGCUGCAGUGAGCCGAGAUGGGUGCCACUUCACUCCAGCCUAGGCGACAGAGUGAGACUUGCAGAAGGAAAGAGAGAAAAGAAAUACAGUAACAG